AUCAACUGCAGCGCAGGAAGCGCUCAGGAUCAAGGAUGAUCGACCAUUUGCAAGGACGCUACCGACAGGGAGUCGACAUGGUCUUGGGAAAACCCGCUUCGGCGGGUUUUUU
rnacentral:sRNA from 1 species